GACGAACGCUGGCGGCGUGCCUAAUACAUGCAAGUAGAACGCUGAAGAGAGGAGCUUGCUCUUCUUGGAUGAGUUGCGAACGGGUGAGUAACGCGUAGGUAACCUGCCUGGUAGCGGGGGAUAACUAUUGGAAACGAUAGCUAAUACCGCAUAAAAUGGAUUAUCGCAUGAUAAUCCAUUGAAAGGUGCAAAUGCAUCACUACCAGAUGGACCUGCGUUGUAUUAGCUAGUUGGUGGGGUAACGGCUCACCAAGGCGACGAUACAUAGCCGACCUGAGAGGGUGAUCGGCCACCCUGGGACUGAGACACGGCCCAGACUCCUACGGGAGGCAGCAGUAGGGAAUCUUCGGCAAUGGACGGAAGUCUGACCGAGCAACGCCGCGUGAGUGAAGAAGGUUUUCGGAUCGUAAAGCUCUGUUGUAAGAGAAGAACGAGUGUGAGAGUGGAAAGUUCACACUGUGACGGUAUCUUACCAGAAAGGGACGGCUAACUACGUG
rnacentral:rRNA from 1 species